rnacentral:rRNA from 1 species
UAAUACUCCAUAGAUCAUAGAUUCUGGAACGACUUAUGGUCGAAAGUUCCGGCGCUCUAGGAUUGGUCUGCGGCCUAUCAGGUAGUAGUGGGUGUAACGGACCCACUAGCCAGUGACGGGUAUGGGCCUUGAGAGAGGGAGCCCAGAGAUGGAUUCUGAGACACGAAUCCAGGCCCUACGGGGCGCAGCAGUCGCGAAAACUUCACAAUGGGGGCAACCCCGAUGAGGGAAUUCCUAGUGCUGACACUUUUUUGUGUCAGCUUUUCUUUAGCGUAGAUAACUAGAGGAAUAAGGGCUGGGUAAGACGGGUGCCAGCCGCCGCGGUAAUACCCGCAGCCCGAGUGGUGGUCGACUUUAUUGAGUCUAAAACGUUCGUAGCCGGUUCGCUAAAUCCUUGGGUAAAUCGGAAAGCUUAACUUUCCGAAUUCCGAGGAGACUGGCGAACUUGGGACCGGGAGAGGCAAGAGGUACUUGGGGGGUAGGGGUAAAAUCCUGUAAUCCUCCAAGGACCACCGGUGGCGAAGGCGUCUUGCUAGAACGGAUCCGACGGUGAGGGACGAAGCCCUGGGUCGCAAACGGGAUUAGAUACCCCGGUAGUCCAGGGUGUAAACGCUGCAGACUUGGUGU